AUUGAACGCUGGCGGCAUGCCUUACACAUGCAAGUCGAACGGCAGCACGGGAGCAAUCCUGGUGGCGAGUGGCGAACGGGUGAGUAAUAUAUCGGAACGUGCCCAGUCGUGGGGGAUAACGCAGCGAAAGCUGUGCUAAUACCGCAUACGAUCUACGGAUGAAAGCGGGGGAUCGCAAGACCUCGCGCGAUUGGAGCGGCCGAUAUCAGAUUAGCUAGUUGGUGGGGUAAAAGCCCACCAAGGCGACGAUCUGUAGCUGGUCUGAGAGGACGACCAGCCACACUGGAACUGAGACACGGUCCAGACUCCUACGGGAGGCAGCAGUGGGGAAUUUUGGACAAUGGGCGCAAGCCUGAUCCAGCAAUGCCGCGUGCAGGAUGAAGGCCUUCGGGUUGUAAACUGCUUUUGUACGGAACGAAACGGCUCUUUCUAAUAAAGAGGGCUAAUGACGGUACCGUAAGAAUAAGCACCGGCUAACUACGUGCCAGCCGCCGCGGUAA
rnacentral:rRNA from 1 species